GGGUGAGUAACGCGUGGGAAACCUGCCCUUCAGUUGGGAACAACACUCCUAACGGGGUGCUAAUACCGAAUACGAUCCUCUGGUCUCAUGACCUAGGGAUGAAAGGCGGCCUCUGCUUGCAUGCUGUCGCUGAAGGAUGGUCCCGCGUCCCAUUAGCUUGUUGGUAGGGUAACGGCCUACCAAGGCGACGAUGGGUAGCCGGCCUUAGCGGGUGACCGGCCACACUGGGACUGAGAUACGGCCCAGACUCC
rnacentral:rRNA from 1 species